CCCUUAGAUGUCCUGGGCCGCACGCGCGCUACACUGAGUGUCUGAGAUACGAGUCUGCCUGGUCCGGCAAGGUCUAGGUAAUCGCUAAAAGACACAUCAUGCUUGGGAUAGAUUAUUACAAAUAUUAAUCUUGAACGAGGAAUUCCUAGUAAGCGCAAGUCAACAGCUUGCGUUGAUUACGUCCCUGCCCUUUGUACACACCGCCCGUCGCUACUACUGAUUGGAUGUUUAAGCGAGGUUCUCGAACUGCUAGCGACUUAGCUUCGGUGAGGUCGCAGUGUGGGAAGUGAACCUAGCUUUGGUGUCUAGAGGAAGUAAAAGUCGUAACA
rnacentral:rRNA from 1 species